ACGCCCGUAGCUCAAUGGUUAGAGCAUUCCGCUUAUAUCGGAAUGGUUGGGGGUUCGAGUCCCUCCGGGCGUA
rnacentral:tRNA from 1 species